rnacentral:lncRNA from 10 species
CACCUAUAGUUACCAGUGCAUAAAUGGAAGAGCUAUGUUUGUAUCCAGGCUUUACUUCAAAUCUGGCCCUCUGUCCAUUGCAUCAGAACCCAUGAACUGACCCAAUUCAAACAACUCUCAUUUAGUUCCAUAUGGUGUUACAUGUGAUCUAUUUUUUAAGCAGACUAUGAUACAAUAAAAAUGCUGAUUCCAAAUAAUAUGUCUUACAAAGUAGCAUCCUUUCCAGAAGAGAAUGCCUCUCUCUCCACAGUAUCAAACAGCUUCUGGUGGAGCUUCCACAGUAAGUGUGACCUCUGGAGACACAACAUAGAGUCUGCUGGCUAGAGAAGAUAUAGGAUCCUAAAACUCUUAUUAUCUGUGACUGUGAGAGACUUGAAACUUCUCCUUCACCUAAGAUUCUUUUCCAACCUCACCCUCAUUGCCUUUGCUUGGAGGAUGUCCCUGCUGGUCCUGGCAGCCCUCACACUGCGCAGUCUUUCCACACACUACAGCCCAAGGAGUCAUCUGCUUGUGGUUUGGUAGCUUCAACCUUGUUCUCUACAACCAUCCCCCAUGCCGGUUCUCAGCUCAGAAAACUUCAAUGACUUCCAUUAUCCGCUGAAGUUUUAACUUUUACAUACAAACCUGAAUGGAAACAUUCAGGUUUUCCAGGAUAUGGCCUUUGCUGUCAUUUCCUCCUUGUUAUCCUUUCUCCCUCCCUCCAUAUUUUCCACAAAUGAUUUGGAAAUACUGUAAAAACCUCUAUAUUAAGUGCUGGGGAUAUAUUGAUGAUCAAGCUGCCUUUGUAAAGUGUGCAGAUAAAAGAGAGAUCCACAGAGAAGUAAUUCAAGUCAAGCAGGAUGAGUGAUUUGGUAGGGCAGUGUCGGGGCAACAGGAGGAUGCACAGGGAACUUCAACAAAUUGACCAGGCUGAUUUCUCUGAAGAAGGAACACGUCAGUGGAAAUGUGUGAAAACUGAUCAACAGAAGAAGGGGCUUGAUCUACUUUCCGUCUUAGAAUGUGUGCUCAGGUUGCGGUGUGUACGGUGUGGAUAAAUGAUUUGGGCCAGUGGCUUUCAAACUUGAGUGUGAGUCAGAAUCUUCCAGAGGGCUUUGUAGAACACCACUGCAGGACUCCCUCUCCUAGUAGGUUUGGGGGAGACCCUGAGAAUCUCCAUUUUUUUUUUUGAGACGGGGUUUCACUCUUGUGGCCCAGGCUGGAGUGCAGUGCUGCCGUCUUGGCUCACCGCAAGCUCCGCUUCCCGGGUUCAAGCGAUUCUCCUGCCUCAGCCUCCCACGUAGCUGGGAUUACAGGGGCCCGCCACCAUGCCUGGCUAAUUUUUUGUAUUUUUUAGUAGAGACGGGGUUUGGCCAUGUUGGGCAGGCUGCUCUCCUGACCUCAGGUGAUCCGCCCGCCUCAGCCUCCCAAAGUGCUGGGAUUACAGGCGUGAGCCACCGUGCCCGGCCGAGAAUCUGCAUUUUUAACAAGCUCCCAGGAGAAGCUGAAGCUGCUGAUCCUGGGACUGCACUUAGAGAACCACGGUUCUGAGGUAAGCAAGACUAGAGGCUGCGGGGCCUCGCAGCCCAGGUGUGCAACAAGGGUGACCUAGACUGUAGGCAAGGCAGAGGUGGUAGAGAGGAGAGGCCUGAGAAGGAUAUGGGAAUCAGACACGCCUAGAUUUGGGCGUGGUAUGAGACGGAUGGAAUGUGGAGGUGACGGGGAGGAAGGAGUCAAGGACGGCAACCAAUUUUUGCCAUAAGACCUUGGGUGGAAGGAAUACUGUUUACUGAGAUAAAAAAAAAUCCAAGAGUAGAAGCACAACUAAGCAGAAGGCGCGAAGUUCAUUUUGGGGUAGAAUAUGCUGCUUUAGUUAAGAAUAUAGGCUCUGAAGUUAGAUUUCCUGGGUCUGAGCAUUAGCUUUGCUUCUUCCCAGCUGAAUAACUUCAAGCAAUUUUCACAACCUUACUGCACAUAGUUGCUUCAUUUUAACAUUGCGACAAAAAUAGUACCCAUCUCAUAAGGUUGUGGCAAGGAUUGAAUAAGACACUAUAUAAAAAAUAUUUGCAACCCUGUCUGGCAUACAGUUUGUACUCAAUAUUAACCAUUAUGAAUAAUUGCCUUCACAUACACUGGCUUUUUCCAAACUGAUUGCAUCACUCCUUGGAGGCUGCUCAGGCCGUGCUUUUCUAUUUUUGUUGCUUUGCUUAUUGCGGCUCCUUUGUCUAGAAUUUGUUUCUACCAUUCCUACUUAUCUCUGUAUGAAGUCAUGCUUGUCCUCAGAGUCCAAAUAAAUGCCGCUUCCUCCAGUUGCCUUCCCAGUUGCCCCCCACCUCGCUCAGUGAUCUCUUCGUUCUCAGCUCUUACCACCAUCAUUAUAAUUUCAUUUUAAAUCAAAGUACUUUUAACCUGUGUUUUAAUUACUUCUACACGCCUCCCUUCCCAACACUGGCAAUGAUGGGUUCUAUUGUGUUUUGUGGCUUUCAUUUACACACUAGUGCACUGUUGAGUGAACUCGGAAGUUAGUUUAUAAACAUUGUAGUUAGCUGCUGGUCCUAAUUUUCACGUUUAUUUGGAUUUGGAGUUGGGAAUAUUGUUAUGAUUUUCUUUGUGCUUAAUAAAUCACAUCUGCAUCCACAGAGGAGGGUUUAUUUGUGGCUUAUUAAUUAAAUAGUAAUUCAUCAUAUGAACAAAUGCUCUAUUGUAUUGUUUUCCUCUCCUUAGGGAAAACCAUUUUGCCGCAAAUUAGAAUAUUUGAAAUCAAUACUGC